rnacentral:rRNA from 1 species
AUCGAACGCUGGCGGCAGGCCUAACACAUGCAAGUCGAACGAGUGGCGGACGGGUGAGUAAUGUCUGGGAAACUGCCUGAUGGAGGGGGAUAACUACUGGAAACGGUAGCUAAUACCGCAUACCAUCAGAUGUGCCCAGAUGGGAUUAGCUAGUUGGGGGGGUAACGGCUCACCAAGGCGACGAUGCCUAGCUGGUCUGAGAGGAUGACCAGCCACACCGGAACUGAGAGACGGUCCAGACGCCGACGGGAGGCAGCAGUGGGGAAAAUGGCACAAUGGGCGCAAGCCUGAUGCAGCCAUGCCGCGGGUAUGAAGAAGGCCUUCGGGUUGUAAAGUACUUUCAGCGUGGAGGCGUUACCCGCAGAAGAAGCGCCGGCUAACUCCGUGCCAGCAGCCGCGGUAAUUC